ensembl:lncRNA
CCUCUGGCCGUGCUGCAGACCCCGGCUUCCAUCUCAGCCUCCAGUAGCCCCCAGCAGCCCCGCCUACCAGCAGGGAGAUCACGGGCUGGCAGCCCAGAGAGGGCAGUGUGAGGGACGGGAGGAGAGCAGCCCCGGGGGGGAUCAGGGGCUGGUAGAUGUAGAUGAUGAAGAAGAGGAUAUAGAGAUAGUUGUUGUAUAGAUAGUUAGAGGGUAUGAUGAUAGUUGAUAGCGAUGUAGAUUAGUUGAUAGUGACGUAGAUUAGUUGAUAGUGACGUAGAUAGUGAGAUAGACAGCUGAUGGUGGUAUACAGGUAGUAAACAGAUAGCAGAGAGCAAGAUGGGUUAUUGGUAGAGAGGUGGUUUGUGAAUAGGAAGGUAGUUAGCAGCAAGCAAGAGUUAGUAGCAAUGUAGUUAGAUCAUAGCCAGAUAGCUGAUAGGGGGAUGCAGGAUAGAAAGAUGGGUGACUGGGAGAUAGUUAAUUUAUAGACUGCAAUAGUGAAAGUUGCUGAAAAGAACUUUGUCUCUGUUUCAGAUGAGCCACUGCGCCCUGGGACACCACUCUCCCCUCAGUACGAUGAAGACCAACACCUGAUGCUGCUCCAUCACCAGCAGAAGAACAGCAGCUCUGCAGAGACCCGUCCUGCCAGCAGAGCAUCACGGAGAAGAAGACGCGCCUUCUGCUCACAGGAAGAUGAGCCACGGAGUCCUGGGACACCACUCUCCCCUCCAGCAUGUGAUGAGGACCAACGCCUGAUGCUGCUCCAGCGCCGGCAGAAGAACAGCAGCUCUGGGAACACCCGUCCUGCCAGCACAGCAUCACAGGGAAGAGGACGCACCUUCUGCUCAGAGCGAGGGCACAUCUCGGGUGGAAACACCGGCGGGGCUCUGACAGUCUCUGAAUGCUUUGCCCUGAAUUGGAGGUUGAAACCAAAUCACAGAUGUUUUUCUAUACAGUUACUCUUCUCCUGUAAGCCGAGCUUUGACAGAGUUGAUGUCCAAAACAGCCGAGGAAGAACUGGACUGAAGAGGAGAGCGCCAGCUGACAGCGCCCGUCUGGUGUGAUGUGCCCAGAGAGAGACUCGUCCAGCAAGAGAUAGAGUAGAUAGGGAGCAUAGGGACCCAGUUAGCUCUAAAAUGUCUUAGUAGUGCAGUUGUAAGAAAGCUCUGUAAAUAAAUUGUAUGCCAUUGUUUUCAUAUCCUUACACUGUGUCCAAAACUGUGUUUGUUCGUAGCCCGAUAUGCCUAGAAAUAAAUGACAGAACAAUAAAUCUUUUCCUCUG